UAAUCUGAGCGUCUUAUUUUAAUAAGUCAAAACUUUCAACAACGGAUCUCUUGGUUCUGGCAUCGAUGAAGAACGCAGCGAAAUGCGAUACGUAAUGUGAAUUGCAGAAUUCAGUGAAUCAUCGAAUCUUUGAACGCACAUUGCGCCCAUUAGUAUUCUAGUGGGCAUGCCUGUUCGAGCGUCAUUUCAACCCUUAAGCUUAGCUUAGU
rnacentral:rRNA from 1 species